GAUGAACGCUGGCGGCGUGCCUAAUACAUGCAAGUCGAGCGAACGGACGAGAAGCUUGCUUCUCUGAUGUUAGCGGCGGACGGGUGAGUAACACGUGGAUAACCUACCUAUAAGACUGGGAUAACUUCGGGAAACCGGAGCUAAUACCGGAUAAUAUUUUGAACCGCAUGGUUCAAAAGUGAAAGACGGUCUUGCUGUCACUUAUAGAUGGAUCCGCGCUGCAUUAGCUAGUUGGUAAGGUAACGGCUUACCAAGGCAACGAUGCAUAGCCGACCUGAGAGGGUGAUCGGCCACAUUGGGACUGAGACACGGCCCAGACUCCUACGGGAGGCAGCAGUAGGGAAUCUUCCGCAAUGGGCGAAAGCCUGACGGAGCAACGCCGCGUGAGUGAUGAAGGUCUUCGGAUCGUAAAACUCUGUUAUUAGGGAAGAACAUAUGUGUAAGUAACUGUGCACAUCUUGACGGUACCUAAUCAGAAAGCCACGGCUAACUACGUG
rnacentral:rRNA from 1 species